rnacentral:rRNA from 1 species
ACGCACGCUGGCGGCGUGCUUAACCCCUGCACGUCGCACGGAAAGGCCCUGCUUUUGUGGGGUGCUCGAGUGGCGAACGGGUGAGUAACACGUGAGUAACCUGCCCUUGACUUUGGGAUAACUUCAGGAAACUGGGGCUAAUACCGGAUAGGAGCUCCUGCUGCAUGGUGGGGGUUGGAAAGUUUCGGCGGUUGGGGAUGGACUCGCGGCUUAUCAGCUUGUUGGUGGGGUAGUGGCUUACCAAGGCUUUGACGGGUAGCCGGCCUGAGAGGGUGACCGGCCACAUUGGGACUGAGAUACGGCCCAGACUCCUACGGGAGGCAGCAGUGGGGAAUAUUGCACAAUGGGCGGAAGCCUGAUGCAGCAACGCCGCGUGCGGGAUGACGGCCUUCGGGUUGUAAACCGCUUUCGCCUGUGACGAAGCGUGAGUGACGGUAAUGGGUAAAGAAGCACCGGCUAACUACGUG